GGAGGGAUGCCGGAGCCAGGCUGAACGGGGCGGUCUCGAAAACCGCUGUCCUGCUAACGCAGGACCGGGGGUUCAAAUCCCUCUCCCUCCG
rnacentral:tRNA from 1 species